GGCUUUUUGAUUAUAAUUUAAGGUCUAGCCUGCCCAAUGAUAAUUUAAAUGGCUGCGGUAAUUUGACCGUGCAAAGGUAGCAUAAUCAUUAGUUUUUUAAUUGAAAGCUGGUAUGAAAGGUUGGACGAGAAAAUGACUGUCUCAAUUUAAUUGAUUUAGAAUUUUAUAUUUAAGUAAGAAAGCUUAAAUGAUUUUAAAAGACGAGAAGACCCUAUAGAAUUUUAUAAUUUUAUUAUUUUGGUAUUGUUAGUUAAGUUAUUUUUGAAAUAAUAAAAUUAUUUUACUGGGGCAGUAGAAAAAUUUAAUGAACUUUUUUUUAUAGAAUCAUUAAUAUAUGAAUGAUUGAUCCAUAAUUUAUGAUUGAUAGAUUAAAUUACCUUAGGGAUAACAGCGUAAUUUUUUUUAAGAGUUCUUAUCGAAAAAAAAGUUUGCGACCUCGAUGUUGGAUUAAAAUUUACUUUUGGUGUAGAAGCUAAAUUAGUUAGGUCUGUUCGACCUUUAAAAUUUUACAUGAUCUGAGUU
rnacentral:rRNA from 1 species